rnacentral:misc_RNA from 1 species
GGGAAGCAGCAAAGCGGGGAACGCAAAUGGCACUCUCGUCGGAGAGGAGGGCUGUGCGAGGGCCAGGAGUAAUAAAAAUCGGUGUGGUGCUUCUGGGGGACGUUCCGGAGUUUGGGUCAUCUUUAUAUCCUUUAGGUUUUAAGAGGUUUAAAAUUGACUUUUUUUGCGCAUUUUAGAUGUACAUAAAUUCUUUUUUUUAUUCGUCUGUCUUAAUGCUCAAAAUCCUAUUAGAUGCGACCAUACCGUGUGGUAUAGUGUCUAUAAUUUUUUCUUGAU